CCUGAUCAAAGGGCUCUGAGCUGGGGGAAUUGGGCAGUCGGGAUUUCUAUUCCAGAUGUGUUUUGCAAGUGCUCUGGAGGCUCUGCAAGCUCACAUUCUUCUGAGUGACUGGAGCUCUGUGCUGGGCCUGGGUGCUGGAGGACCCCUGCUUGGAGGAG